rnacentral:rRNA from 1 species
UGGGGAAUUUUGGACAAUGGGGGCAACCCUGAUCCAGCAAUGCCGCGUGAGUGAAGAAGGCCUUCGGGUUGUAAAGCUCUUUUGUCAGGGAAGAAACGGUGAAGGCUAAUAUCCUUUGCUAAUGACGGUACCUGAAGAAUAAGCACCGGCUAACUACGUGCCAGCAGCCGCGGUAAUACGUAGGGUGCAAGCGUUAAUCGGAAUUACUGGGCGUAAAGCGUGCGCAGGCGGUUUUGUAAGACUGUCGUGAAAUCCCCGGGCUCAACCUGGGAAUGGCGAUGGUGACUGCAAGGCUAGAGUUUGGCAGAGGGGGGUAGAAUUCCACGUGUAGCAGUGAAAUGCGUAGAUAUGUGGAGGAACACCGAUGGCGAAGGCAGCCCCCUGGGUCAAAACUGACGCUCAUGCACGAAAGCGUGGGGAGCAAACAGG